rnacentral:rRNA from 1 species
CGGAGGGUGCAAGCGUUGUCCGGAUUUAUUGGGUUUAAAGGGUGCGUAGGCGGUCUUUUAAGUCAGUGGUGAAAUCCUGCAGCUCAACUGUAGAACAGCCAUUGAUACUGAAAGACUUGAGUACAGACGAGGUAGGCGGAAUUUAUGGUGUAGCGGUGAAAUGCAUAGAUACCAUAAAGAACCCCUAUUGCGAAGGCAGCUUACUAGGCUGUAACUGACGCUGAGGCACGAAAGCGUGGGAUCAAACAGGAUUAGAUACCCUGGUAGUCCACGCCGUAAACGAUGAUUACUCGAUGUUCGCGAUAUACAGUGAGCGUCCAAGCGAAAGCGUUAAGUAAUCCACCUGGAAGUACGAUCGCAAGAUUAG